UCAUUGUUUCAGGAUAAGUUGUGGCAAUGUUUUCUAAGGAAUGCAGAUUCUGAGAAAUCGGAACCCGUUUCCAGAAUUCAUAACGUUGGUAUGGAUAGUGCUAAACUGCAGUGUUGUUUUAGAGCUACAACUAUGACAUGUCAAAGGUUAUGCAUAAAGACUUACAGUAGUGAAUGGGAAGAAAGUUGGAUUGAAUUUGAGCAACAGUGUCAGUACCAAUUGGCUGAAUCACCCAUGUUGAGGUGUCUCUCUGAAGGUUAGUCUCAUAAAAUGGUCUCAAACAAAACUAUUAAAUUGAUGCAGUCUAAACAGACGUAAGAGACUGGCAAAUAAAAAAGAAAAUUACGCAAUUAAAGUAACUGAUUAAAACUACGAUACAAACAGAUUUCCAUUGAUGAAUAAAAUACUGUUUAUUU